GCGCCUGUGGCUCAAUGGAUAGAGCAUCGGUCUUCGGAACCGAGGGUUGGGAGUUCGAGUCUCUCCAGGCGCGCCA
rnacentral:tRNA from 1 species